rnacentral:antisense_RNA from 1 species
GUGGAUUUACUAGGAAGGUGGGACGUUGGAGGGGCGGCCGCAUGGCGUGAUUACUGUCUCUGGCCACCGAGCAGAGCCAGUGACAGCAGCGUUCUGGUAGGCAGGCAGGCGUAUCAGGUUUCAGAGGAUGCGGCUGGGAACGGGAGUAGAGGUGAGGGGUCGUUGCAUCUGUCGCGGUGUGUAUCUUUUGGGGGUUCAGCGCCACCAGCGACUUGGGCCUCAUUCAUCGCGCUUACAAUUCUCCACCUCAUUUGAAGAACAAGCUUCGUAGCCCACGGAGCUGAGGUAUAUGAGCUCCCUGAAAGCACAAAGCAGUUAUUUCCAUCUUCAGAUCAUUCAGAGAUUAUGAAGGCACAAACCCUGCCUUCAAUUUGCUUAUAGUCAAGUGGAGCAGACACAAGUAAAUGAUUGCAGUAUAGCCACUUAAGUAAUCUAAAAGAGGUGAGUGUGGCACUUAACCUCUCCUGGGAGGGGGAGGAAUAAGGCAGUGUUUCCAAGAGGUGAUUUUGGAGCUAUACAGGCAUUAGGUAGACAAGGAAGGGGAGGUCCAUUCUGGGUGCCUAGGCCUCUGUGGCUGAUUUAUAAAUCGUAAAU